rnacentral:piRNA from 1 species
AUCUGCUUGUUGUAGAGGGUUGG